rnacentral:sRNA from 1 species
UCUGGGCGUGGUGGCGCAUGCCUGUAAUCCCAGCAGCGCUGUAGGCUGAGGCAGGAGGAUCGCUAGUUCAAAGCCAGCCUCAGCAACAGCGAGGUGCUAAGCAACUCAGUGAGGCCCUGUCUCUA